AGGAUAAACGCUGGCGGCGUGCCUAACACAUGCAAGUCGAACGCCCUUGAGCAAUCGAGGGAGUGGCGGACGGGUGAGUAACACGUGGGUACCUACCCCAAGGUGAGGAAUACCGGCGAGAAAUCGCCGACAAUACCGCAUAGGCUUCGUAAGAAGCAAAGCUCGCAAGGGCGCCAUGGGAAGGGCCUGCGGCCGAUUAGCUAGUUGGUGAGGUAAAAGUUCACCAAGGCGACGAUCGGUAGCUGGUCUGAGAGGAUGAUCAGCCACACUGGGAUUGAGAACGGCCCAGACUCCUACGGGGGGCAGCAGUGAGGAAUUUUCGUCAAUGGGGGAAACCCUGAACGAGCAACGCCGCGUGCAGGAAGAAGGUUUUCGGAUCGUAAACUGCUUUUCUCUGGGACGAGAACGGACGGUACCAGAGGAAUCAGCCCCGGCUAACUACGUGCCAGCAGCCGC
rnacentral:rRNA from 1 species